UACGAAGGGGGCUAGCGUUGCUCGGAAUCACUGGGCGUAAAGGGUGCGUAGGCGGGUCUUUAAGUCAGGGGUGAAAUCCUGGAGCUCAACUCCAGAACUGCCUUUGAUACUGAGGAUCUUGAGUGCGGGAGAGGGAAGCGGAAUUCCUGGUGUAGAGGUGAAAUUCGUAGAUAUCAGGAGGAACACCGGUGGCGAAAGCGGCUUCCUGGCCCGACACUGACGCUCAUGUACGAAAGCGUGGGGAGCAAACAGG
rnacentral:rRNA from 1 species